UGGGUCCUACGGGACGCAGCAGUGAGGAAUAUUGGUCAAUGGUCGGGAGACUGAACCAGCCAAGCCGCGUGAGGGAAGAAGGUACAGCGUAUCGUAAACCUCUUUUGUCAGGGAACAAAGGCGGGGACUAGUCCCCGGAUGAGGGUACCUGAAGAAAAAGCAUCGGCUAACUCCGUGCCAGCAGCCGCGGUAAUACGGAGGAUGCGAGCGUUAUCCGGAUUUAUUGGGUUUAAAGGGUGCGCAGGCGGCCUGGUAAGUCAGCGGUAGA
rnacentral:rRNA from 1 species